rnacentral:sRNA from 1 species
UUGAGUGGGAAUGAUUUAUAAACAUGAUUUGAAGUGAAAUGGUUGAUUUAACAGCAUUUUCAGUUGUUAUAAAAGGUUAAAAAUAAAUCAAAAUUGAUUGGUUCCCCACCAAAAAUCCCACCAGAAUUUUUCUGGUGAGGUUUUUUU